AUUAGUAUUAAUUAGUUAGAUUGUAUUUUCAAAAAAAAAAUAAAAAAAUAACGGCUCUUGCUAUUAAUCCUUUUCAAUGUAAAUUUAAAUUCCAAUUUGAGAAAGCACACUAUAAAUACAUACUAUCAGUUCCACCCAUAACGGCUCUUCUCUUCUCUUCUCUUCUCUCAUCGAUACAACGGCUCUUGUUAAAGACAAUGGUGAAGAUCUUGGUGGCGAGGACAAAACAAGAAGGAGCUGGUUGUCAGGCAAAUGAUGAGAGACAGACAUUGCUGGAGCGACCAAGAAACGACGGGAAUUUUCUAAUGUAUCGAAUCAUCAACUGUCUCUGCUGAUCUCUUAUUCUUCCAACCUUGUAGAAGAUCAAGAUUGAUGGGAUAAAACAAGACCCUUGGUUCAAUCCUUUUCCCUUCAUUGUGAAAGGUUGUUGCAGAAAAUCCAAUAUCCCAAGCUAAAGCGGAAUCUGAAACCUUCAGGGACAUUGUGGUUCUUGUUGGGCUUGUUGUGGUGCUGCUGAGUCGUUGUCUGAUUGUUUCUGUAUUCAUUUUGGCUGGAAUAUCUGUGUCAGCAAAUGAUAUCGUAGCAUGCUGUGGUGGUCACUGAAGAGGUCAUACUGUUUUGUUUUAUACACUUCUUGUACUUCUGAGGAAAUACAUCUUUUCUAUAUGCUCGACUAAUAAAUUUUUUCCUGUCAGUGUGAUAUGUGAUUGCUGAUUCUUCAAGUAAACACUAGUAUCCGCAAUCUUAAUAAGUACUCUGUCAAUCUUGACAAAGUCAAAACAUUAGUAUCAUCUAUCGUAUACUACUUCUCCAUUUCUGUUAUAUGUCACCAAUUUGGAUUUCAUGUCCCUUAAAAAGAAACUAGGUAAAUUUACCAUUAUACUACCCUUGUCAAGUUUUUCAAUAAGGAAAUAUAAGUUAAUUUGUUUUGAUUAAUUAAAUUGGCCAACAAACAUGUAUAAAUCAUUUUAAUUUAAAGGUUUUUCCCCCCAUUUUCAUAUAGCUGCAAAAGCGGAACAUCUAAACAGUGAAGAAGAAGAUGAUUUCCCAUGUAUUGAAAGUGUUGCUACUCCUCAGUCAUCCCUCUACUUUUUGUUUUUGUGUGGAGAUAUGUUGGCUGCAAUAAUUGAACUUUAUUUCUGUUGAACGCUGCAUGUCCACCACCUGUAAGCCUACUUUUUGCAUCAGGAGGCUUAUGUAGAGACAAUGUGGCUGAAUAAGUCUCGGGAUAACAAGGACAAAGGGGAAGGAAAGCCUCAAUACUUUUCUGAAGACGAGAUCUGUACGAAUUAACAAGUAGCUCAUUCUCGAGCAUCUUUUUUCUUGUAUACAAAGAAGAUUUCCAGCUCAGGAUGACUUCUUUCAGCCAGAAGGAAGAACAUCAAUAUUCUCCAAAAACAACAUGUUUUCAUCUUCCAUGUCAUUCAUUAGCUUCUUGGACAUCACCACCAGUUCGGCUCCAUUCAUCCAAUUCAUUGAGCUCAUGUUAUGUUUCCACAACUUCCUCGGACAAUCUGCAAUGACAAGAACAUAUUAGAAGAUUACAUGAGUUCAUUUAAGUGUGUAUAUGAUUUGGCCAACCAUAUCCAAGUUGCACCCGUUUGGCAUGGGUACAUCAAGGCGAAUGAAGGACAUAUAACAUAGAUCAGGAGAUUAAGGUGAUAGGUAAAGAAAACUACAUAAGCCUCCUGAUGCAAAAAGUUAUAUCCUGCUUUACAUGCAGCAUUUUUCAGCAAGUUCUCUGGUAGAACAGUCGGGGACGCCCCCCGCCCCCCUGCCCCCGAGGCGGCCUCGGGGCCCCUCCUACCCUGAGGCACGCGUGUGAUAGGGAUCUCAAAUGCUUAUUACUGUGAGUUAAAACCUCACAUUAAAUGAUCGACUUAAUCAAGAGGACUAGAUGUUUUGCUGAAUGGAAUUACCUGCAACUGUUCUGAACUAUACGUAAAUAUAAUAUAAUCAAUCAAAAAGUUUCUUGUUUGGGUUAAUUACAUAUCAUUGUUUAAACCAAUAUAUAGUAGGAAGAGAAGAUUAUGCUGCCAUCAUCUUAGGGUUGCUGCUUUCUUCACUGCAUCUUUGUCAUAUCAGAUGCAGUGGCACUAUUCACCUCAAUCGUUUCUCUCAGUAGUAUUCAAGCCUGCAAUGUUUCUAGAAUCAAUAUAGAGGUGAUAAAUUAUGCAACAUCCCAAUGACGAAGAAAUGAAGAUAGAGGAUUAGUAUUUACGGAACCUGUUUCAGAGAAGCAUAAUGAACUAGAUUUUACAGGCUACAGGACACUAUUGUAUUUUGAGGCAAUAAAACAUUGGUCCUAAAAAUGAUGUUUCUUGAAUGUCAGUAUUUUGAGCCUUAUUUGCGUACUAAGCAGAUUCAACAA